CCUACGGGAGGUAGCAGUGGGGGAUAUUGCACAAUGGGGGGAACCCUGAUGCAGCGACGCCGCGUGGGUGAAGGAGUGCUUCGGCAUGUAAAGCCCUAUCGGCAGGGAAGAAGCAAGACGGUACCUGACUAAGAAGCCCCGGCUAACUACGUGCCAGCAGCCGCGGUAAUACGUAGGGCGCGAGCGUUAUCCGGAUUCACUGGGUGUAAAGGGAGCGUAGACGGCCAUGCAAGCCAGGGGGGAAAGCCCGGGGCGCAACCCCGGGACUGCCCUUGGAACUGUGCGGAUAGAGUGCGGGAGGGGCAGGGGGAAUUCCUGGUGUAGCGGUGAAAUGCGUAGAGAGCAGGAGGAACACCGGCGGCGAAGGCGGCCUGCUGGACCGCGACUGACGUUGAGGCUCGAAAGCGUGGGGAGCGAACAGGAUUAGAUACCCUUGUAGUC
rnacentral:rRNA from 1 species